CGUGUAGGCGGGAAGAUAAGUCAGAUGUGAAAUUCCGAAGCUCAACUUCGGAGCUGCAUUUGAAACUAUUUUUCUUGAGGAUUGACGGAGAAAACGGAAUUCCACGUGUAGCGGUGAAAUGCGUAGAUAUGUGGAAGAACACCUGUGGCGAAAGCGGUUUUUCUAGUUUAUACCUGACGCUGAGGCGCGAGAGAAGGGAGCGAAACA
rnacentral:rRNA from 1 species